rnacentral:tRNA from 1 species
GUGGGCGUAGCUCAACUGGCAGAGUACUGGGUUGUGGACCCAGUGGUUGCGGGUUCGAAUCCCGUCGCUCACC